rnacentral:rRNA from 1 species
CCUACGGGAGGCAGCAGUGAGGAAUAUUGGUCAAUGGCCGGAAGGCUGAACCAGCCAAGCCGCGUGAGGGAGGAAGGCGCAGAGCGUCGCAGACCUCUUUUGCCGGGGGACAAAAGGCCGGACUCGUCCGGUCCUGAGGGUACCCGGAGAAAAAGCAUCGGCUAACUCCGUGCCAGCAGCCGCGGUAAUACGGAGGAUGCGAGCGUUAUCCGGAUUUACUGGGGGGAAAGGGAGCGUAGACCGAAAGGCAAGCCAGAAGUGAAAAGCCAGGGCUCAACCAUGGGACUGCGUUUGAAACUGGCAAACGUGAGUACGCGGGAGGUAAGAGGAAGUCCUGGUGGAGCGGUGAAAUGCGGAGAUAUCAGGAAGAACACCGGUGGCGAAGGCGUCUUACUGGACCGAAACUGACGUUGAGGCUCGAAGGCGUGGGGAGCAAACAGGAUUAGAUACCCUUGUAGUC